rnacentral:rRNA from 1 species
UCGAACGAGAAAGUGGAGCAAUCCAUGAGUAAAGUGGCGACCGGGUGAGUAACACGUGACUAACCUACCUCCGAGUGGGGAAUAACUCCGGGAAACCGGGGCUAAUACCGCAUAACAACGCAAGAUCAAAGCAGCAAUGUGCUUGGAGAGGGGGUCGCGGCUGAUUAGCUCGUUGGCGGGGUAACGGCCCACCAAGGCGAAGAUCGGUAUCCGGCCUGAGAGGGCGCACGGACACACUGGAACUGAAACACGGUCCAGACUCCUACGGGAGGCAGCAGUGGGGAAUUUUGCGCAAUGGGGGAAACCCUGACGCAGCAACGCCGCGUGGAGGAUGAAGCCCUUUGGGGCGUAAACUCCUUUCGACUCGGACGAUUAAUGACGGUACGAGUGGAAGAAGCACCGGCUAACUCUGUGCCAGCAGCCGCGGUAAUACAGAGGGUGCGAGCGUUGUUCGGAAUUAUUGGGCGUAAAGGGCGCG